AUGCAGUCGGGUCCCAGGAAUAAGGCCUUCCUCAACAAAAGGCUCGCCUGCUCACCUCCUGCAGGGGCCCCCACUUCCCAGCGAAACUGUCUCAUGAGAGGACAAAUGCUCAGGCUGGAGGCUGUUGUCUUGUCUUCAGCCAGGGCCUGGCCCAGAGGUGAGAAAACUAAGCCUUCUAGAGUUUAAACAACUUGUGGCUCUUGCUGAGCAGUUGACAUGUGACGGGAUUCACCCAAGGUCUGACUGACGCUGCUGAUACCUUGGAGUACUGAGAGUCCAGGUGAAGCAGGGUCUUUUCCAACGAGUCAGUUCUUCGCACCAGGUGGCCAAAGGAUUGGAGUUUCAGCUUCAGCAUCAGUCCUGCAGGACUGAUUUCCUUUCGGAUUGACAAAACAUGGCCCACUAGACAAGGGAAUGGCAAACCACUUCAGUAUUCUUGCCUUGAGAACCCCAUGUGAAAGUCGUUCAGGCAUGUCUGACUCUCCGUGACUCCACGGCUAUCCAGCCCAGGGAAUUCUCCAGGCCAGAAUGCUGGG
ensembl:lncRNA